rnacentral:lncRNA from 1 species
AGCGGCGGCGCAGGCGCGGAGAGGCGCACAGCGCAGGCGCUGGCGCGGAGAGGCGCAGGCCCAGGUCCACUCCCCAGCUGUGAAAGGAGGAGCUCUACGGUGACUUUGAAGACUUGGAAACAGGGGACAUGCACAAGGGAAAAUCGGGCCCCGACACUCAGAAUGAAGAUAUAGAGAAACAAGGAAGAAAUUGACCCCGACGAAGAAGAAAGUGCCAAGAAAAAGCAUUUGGAUAAGAAGAGAAAAUUGAAGGAGAUGUUUGAUGCGGAAUAUGAUGAAGGAGAAAGCACAUAUUUUGAUGAUCUUAAAGGAGAAAUGCAGAAAGAAGCACAGGAGAAUGGGAGCAGAGGAACUGGAGGCUGCAACUGUGGAAAACUUUUGUGGGGUUUUGCUGCAGAGAGAAGCAGAGAAAUGAAGCAGUUUUUGGUGGAAGAAGUGGAAUCAAAAGGUUUUGAGCUGAAUCACGUAGAAUUUGAAGAUCAAGAUGAUGAAGCCAGAGUUCAGUAUGAUGGUUUUCGACCUGGGAUGUACGUCCGCGUUGAGAUUGAAAAUGUUCCCUGUGAAUUUGUGCAGAACUUUGACCCCCAUUACCCCAUUAUCCUGGGUGGCUUGGGCAACAGCGAGGGAAAUGUUGGACACGUGCAGAUGCGUCUGAAGAAACAUCGCUGGUAUAAGAAAAUCCUCAAGUCCCAAGAUCCAAUCAUAUUUUCUGUAGGGUGGAGGAGGUUUCAGACCAUCCUGCUCUAUUAUAUUGAAGACCACAAUGGAAGACAAAGGCUUCUAAAGUAUACCCCACAGCACAUGCAUUGUGGAGCAGCCUUUUGGGGUAAAAUAUGAUUACAAUAACUUGCCUAUUGCCGAGAUUAAACUUUACAGGCUGCGUUAUUUUAGCUUUGUGCUUUUCCUUUCAUAAAAUUCCACUCCUAAGAUGUUUCUGUUUUCUGGGAGCGGGGAGGUGGUUUGGAGUAUAUAUGUAAAUCUAUAUCCAAAUCUAAAUGUCCGUAUCCAGUAUGUUAAACUAGAAUCUAAAAUUUCUGGUUUGCUAUAUUUCUUUUUUUCCUUUUCCUUUAAGACCCUAUCACUCCACAGGGAACUGGUUUCUUGGCAAUACAGUCUGUCAGUGGCAUAAUGGUAACUAUCUUGGACAAUUUCUUUUACAGAUUGGUUUGAGAAAUAUAUCCUGAAUGUGGGUUAUUAUGUACAUGAGACUUUAAGUUGAAAAUUACUCAUUUUUAUUAUUAUAAAGUAAAUUUCCCUUUGCUUUUAAUCUUUGUACAUCCUUUUCAGUAGGGUGUGGGAUUAGAGGAGGGGAGGUGGAAGAAUUAUAAUGGUACAUUUC